UACGUAGGGCGCAAGCGUUAUCCGGAAUUACUGGGCGUAAAGAGCUCGUAGGUGGUUUGUCGCGUUGUUCGUGAAAACUCACAACUCAAUUGUGGGCGUGCGGGCGAUACGGGCAGACUGGAGUACUGCAGGGGAGACUGGAAUUCCUGGUGUAGCGGUGGAAUGCGCAGAUAUCAGGAGGAACACCGGUGGCGAAGGCGGUUCUCUGGGAAUGUCCUGACGCUGAGGAGCGAAAGUGUGGGGAGCGAACAGG
rnacentral:rRNA from 1 species